rnacentral:rRNA from 1 species
GACGAACGCUGGCGGCGUGCUUAACACAUGCAAGUCGAACGCUGAAGCUCAGCUUUUGUUGGGUGGAUGAGUGGCGAACGGGUGAGUAACACGUGAGUAACCUGCCCCCUUCUUUGGGACAACGCCCGGAAACGGGUGCUAAUACUGGAUAUUCACUGGUCUUCGCAUGGGGGUUGGUGGAAAGGGUUUUUCUGGUGGGGGAUGGGCUCGCGGCCUAUCAGCUUGUUGGUGGGGUGAUGGCCUACCAAGGCUUUGACGGGUAGCCGGCCUGAGAGGGUGACCGGUCACAUUGGGACUGAGAUACGGCCCAGACUCCUACGGGAGGCAGCAGUGGGGAAUAUUGCACAAUGGGCGCAAGCCUGAUGCAGCGACGCCGCGUGAGGGAUGGAGGCCUUCGGGUUGUGAACCUCUUUCGCUCAUGGUCAAGCCGCAACAAUGGUUGUGGUGAGGGUAGUGGGUAAAGAAGCGCCGGCUAACUACGUG